rnacentral:rRNA from 1 species
UAACGCGUUAAGUAGACCGCCUGGGGAGUACGGUCGCAAGAUUAAAACUCAAAUGAAUUGACGGGGGCCCGCACAAGCGGUGGAGCAUGUGGUUUAAUUCGAUGCAACGCGAAGAACCUUACCUACUCUUGACAUCUACAGAAGCCAGCGGAGUCGCAGGUGUGCCUUCGGGAACUGUAAGACAGGUGCUGCAUGGCUGUCGUCAGCUCGUGUUGUGAAAUGUUGGGUUAAGUCCCGCAACGAGCGCAACCCUUAUCCUUGUUUGCCAGCACUUCGGGUGGGAACUCCAGGGAGACUGCCGGUGAUAAACCGGAGGAAGGUGGGGACGACGUCAAGUCAUCAUGGCCCUUACGAGUAGGGCUACACACGUGCUACAAUGGCGCAUACAGAGGGCGGCCAACUUGCGAAAGUGAGCGAAUCCCAAAAAGUGCGUCGUAGUCCGGAUUGGAGUCUGCAACUCGACUCCAUGAAGUCGGAAUCGCUAGUAAUCGUGGAUCAGAAUGCCACGGUGAAUACGUUCCCGGGCCUUGUACACACCGCCCGUCACACCAUGGGAGUGGGCUGCAAAAGAAGUGGGUAGUUUAACCUUCGGGAGGACGCUCACCACUUUGUGGUUCAUGACUGGGGUGAAGUCGUAACAAGGUAACCG